GAUGAACGCUGGCGGCGUGCCUAAUACAUGCAAGUCGAGCGAACAGACGAGGAGCUUGCUCCUCUGACGUUAGCGGCGGACGGGUGAGUAACACGUGGAUAACCUACCUAUAAGACUGGGAUAACUUCGGGAGACCGGAGCUAAUACCGGAUAAUAUAUUGAACCGCAUGGUUCAAUAGUGAAAGACGGUUUUGCUGUCACUUAUAGAUGGAUCCGCGCCGCAUUAGCUAGUUGGUAAGGUAACGGCUUACCAAGGCGACGAUGCGUAGCCGACCUGAGAGGGUGAUCGGCCACACUGGAACUGAGACACGGUCCAGACUCCUACGGGAGGCAGCAGUAGGGAAUCUUCCGCAAUGGGCGAAAGCUUGACGGAGCAACGCCGCGUGAGUGAUGAAGGUCUUCGGAUCGUAAAACUCUGUUAUUAGGGAAGAACAAAUGUGUAAGUAACUAUGCACGUCUUGACGGUACCUAAUCAGAAAGCCACGGCUAACUACGUG
rnacentral:rRNA from 1 species